UACGAAGGGGGGCUAGCGUUGCUCGGAUUGACUGGGCGUAAAGGGCGCGUAGGCGGUUCGUACAGUCAGACGUGAAAUUCCUGGGCUCAACCUGGGGGCUGCGUUUGAUACGUGCGGACUUGAGUGCGGAAGAGGGUCGUGGAAUUCCCAGUGUAGAGGUGAAAUUCGUAGAUAUUGGGAAGAACACCAGUGGCGAAGGCGACUCGCUGGACAGACAUUGACGCUGAGGUGCGAAAGCGUGGGGGAGCAAACAGG
rnacentral:rRNA from 1 species